GACGAACGCUGGCGGCGUGCUUAACACAUGCAAGUCGAACGGAAAGGCCCUGCUUUUGUGGGGUGCUCGAGUGGCGAACGGGGGAGUAAAACGUGAGUAACCUGCCCUUGACUUUGGGAUAACAUCAGGAAACUGGGGCUAAUACAGGAUAGGAGCUCCUGCUGCAUGGUGGGGGUUGGAGAGUUUCGGCGGUUGGGGAUGGACUCGCGGCUUAUCAGCUUGUUGGUGGGGUAGUGGCUUACCAAGGCUUUGACGGGUAGCCGGCCUGAGAGGGUGACCGGCCACAUUGGGACUGAGAUACGGCCCAGACUCCUACGGGAGGCAGCAGUGGGGAAUAUUGCACAAUGGGCGGAAGCCUGAUGCAGCAACGCCGCGUGCGGGAUGACGGCCUUCGGGUUGUAAACCGCUUUCGCCUGUGACGAAGCGUGAGUGACGGUAAUGUGUAAAGAAGCACCGGCUAACUACGUG
rnacentral:rRNA from 1 species